CUUCCUCUAACCCCCAGAGCAUCUCAUAGCUCCUCCUGAGCACUCUGUCUGCCCCAAUGGCCGGCAUGUCCGCCGCCAUGGCCGCAAGCGCGCGACGCGUCCCCCUGUCUCCUUUGCUCCUUGGACGAUCCCAGAGGAGGCCCCGGCCUCGUGGGGUCUCCCUCCUCCCCCAGAUCCUUCCGGGCACGGCUGCAGGCCCCCUGCCCGUCGUCGCCAUCGGGUGUGCCCGACCCGACCGAAGCCCCUUUGCCCCCAGCGCUUUCCAGCGAAGUUGCGGCUCCCAGGUGGAGAAGCUCUCCAUUCCGAGCGCGCUGCUCGUCAGAGGCUCGUCGGAGGCAGCUUGGGCCGCCAGAAUGGCGCUCGCGAAGUGCCAUGUCCGCUCCCUUGUCUCUCCCUGUUGAGCGGGAGGUAGGAGACGUUCCUGGCACACGGGCCCCGCCUAUCGGUGAAUGGCUGGCCAGACCCAUGCGAGGUAAGUGGAGUCGGACCCCCUCCCCUUGCCGCCUCCCCCGCGCACAAGGCACAUUUCCUGGAACGCGCCUCCGGUGUCGCCCCGGCCUCUCCCGCAGUUGAGCCAAUGCGCCGGCCCAUUUCUGUCUCGCGCCACUGCGCGGUGCUGCUCAAUGAGAUUGGCCUAUCUAGGUGACGUAGUAGACGAAGUACUCGGAGUUGGACCACAAGGCCUCGAAGACCCCGGCGACCUAUUUGAGCAUGGCAACCAGCCCUUUGACCAUGUUUGAGAAAAUAUUUUCAUGCAUGCCACGUUGAUUACUUCUUUCCAUUGCAUGUGAUCAUGAUUGAAUCGGUAAAACCCUCCGCUUGGUGUUUACGAUAGUUCCUUGAUAACACUUGCAUUGUGCAUGGUCUUACCACCUAUAAAGAUCAUACUGAUGAAA